rnacentral:rRNA from 1 species
UACGAAGGGGGCUAGCGUUGCUCGGAAUGACUGGGCGUAAAGGGCGCGUAGGCGGUUCGUACAGUCAGGCGUGAAAUCCCUCGGCUUAACCGGGGAACUGCGUCUGAUACUGGUUGGCUUGAGUUUGGGAGAGGGACGCGGAAUUCCAGGUGUAGCGGUGAAAUGCGUAGAUAUCGAGAGGAACACCUGCGGCGAAGGCGGGUUGCUGGGCUGACACUGACGCUGAAGCGCGAAAGCUAGGGGAGCGAACGGG